UGAGGAAUAUUGGACAAUGGAGGCAACUCUGAUCCAGCCAUGCCGCGUGCAGGAAGACUGCCCUAUGGGUUGUAAACUGCUUUUAUAGAGGAAGAAACCGCCCGACGAGUCGGGCUCUGACGGUACUCUACGAAUAAGGAUCGGCUAACUCCGUGCCAGCAGCCGCGGUAAUACGGAGGAUCCAAGCGUUAUCCGGAAUCAUUGGGUUUAAAGGGUCCGUAGGCGGAUUUGUAAGUCAGUGGUGAAAGUUUGCGGCUCAACCGUAAAAUUGCCAUUGAUACUGCAAGUCUUGAAUCAUUAUGAAGUGGUUAGAAUGUGUAGUGUAGCGGUGAAAUGCAUAGAUAUUACACAGAAUACCGAUUGCGAAGGCAGAUCACUAAUAAUGUAUUGACGCUCAGGGACGAAAGCGUGAGUAGCGAACAGGAUUAGAUACCCCCGUAGUCC
rnacentral:rRNA from 1 species